rnacentral:sRNA from 1 species
UGCAUUAUUCGUGUUGCUGACAUCAUGGA